rnacentral:rRNA from 1 species
UACAGAGGGUGCGAGCGUUAAUCGGAAUUACUGGGCGUAAAGCGCGCGUAGGCGGCUUUUCAAGUCGAUUGUGAAAUCCCCGGGCUUAACCUGGGAACUGCAGUCGAGACUGUCUAGCUAGAGUAUGGGAGAGGGAAGUGGAAUUUCAGGUGGUAGCGGUGAAAUGCGUAGAUAUCUGAAGGAACAUCAGUGGCGAAAGCGACUUCCUGGACCAAUACUGACGCUCCAUGUGCGAAAGCGUGGGGAGCAAACA